rnacentral:rRNA from 1 species
GCUUAACGGAUAAAAGCUACUCUGGGGAUAACAGAGUCAUCGCGCCUAAGCGUCCCUAGCGACGGCGCGGUUUGCUACCUCAAU